CCAGGAGCAAGGAAAGGGGGCGAUCCCCACUCUCAAACCCUAAAUUCUGCUUAAAACUCUCAAUUGAAGGAGCAAAUCUGGUCCAAACGAAAAUCCGAGCCUAGAAUCGUGAUCCUCAUCGCAAGAGGAUUAUAAGGAACGGGCGCAGGAGCGUCAAGCGGACAAGCGGGUGGCGAACCACGUCAAAAAGGGCUACUUUGAAGGUGAUGAGGUGGAUCAUAUGGACGACGGUCAAGCAACGUAGAAGAACCGAACACGAUUUUUUUGAAGCUUCCGCAAUAUUUUAACCUUUGGUAGACUUUGUGUAUGGGUUGUAAACACUUGUUAAACUACU